GCUACGAAACCGCAGCCAUCUAGUCACUCGCCAGAGAAGGAUGAGAAACUGCACCCCAGCGAGAGGGACUGCCCCACAUCUGCAACCAAAUCCGUCGGUCACCGAAUUCAGUAAUCUCCGUCUCUUUGUCCAUUCUCUCUGACAAGCAUGUUCUCCUAUGGGACACGAAGUACAUGAAGAGGAAUGAAGAAGCCCAUUUUUAAUGCUCGUCUCUAGGGUGGAGUAUUGAAUUUAUAAGUAAUGAAGUGGCAUCUGACACAUGACAAGCUGCUCCUGUUUGCACAGCAACUUCAACAUUGUAUACUGUGAUCACGGCCUAGUUCAGAGAUCUGGUGUCCCAGUAUGGGAUAGAGACCAGCGUUCUGUU